rnacentral:rRNA from 1 species
UACGGAGGGGGCAAGCGUUAUUCGGAAUUAUUGGGCGUAAAGGGCGCGUAGGCGGCUCGAUGUGUCAGAGGUGAAAUCCCUCGGCUCAACUGAGGAACUGCCUUUGAAACUGUCUGGCUUGAGGCCGGGAGAGGGUAGCGGAAUUCCCAGUGUAGCGGUGAAAUGCGUAGAUAUUGGGAGGAACACCAGUGGCGAAGGCGGCUUCCUGGACCGGUACUGACGCUGAGGCGCGAAAGCGUGGGUAGCAAACAGG